rnacentral:rRNA from 1 species
UGGGGAAUUUUGGACAAUGGGGGAAACCCUGAUCCAGCAACGCCGCGUGAAUGAAGAAGGCCCUAGGGUUGUAAAGUUCUUUUGUCUGGGAGCAAAAGGAAGGUGCUAAUAUCACCAUCAUAUGAGAGUACCAGAAGAAUAAGCACCGGCUAACUACGUGCCAGCAGCCGCGGUAAUACGUAGGGUGCAAGCGUUAAUCGGAAUUACUGGGCGUAAAGCGUGCGCAGGCGGAUAGAUAAGUUAGAAGUGAAAUCCCCGGGCUCAACCUGGGAACUGCUUUUAAGACUGUUUAUCUAGAGUUUGUCAGAGGGGGGUGGAAUUCCAAGUGUAGCAGUGAAAUGCGUAGAGAUUUGGAGGAACACCGAUGGCGAAGGCAGCCCCCUGGGAUAAAACUGACGCU